rnacentral:lncRNA from 11 species
UAUUAUUAAUAAUAAUAAAAUAGAGUAAAAUAAAUGUAUAAAGUACAAUAAUAAAUGUAAUAAUAAUGGAGUAAAAUAAUAUUAUAUACCGUAUAUACUCGAGUAUAAGCCGACCUGAAUAUAAGCUGAGGCACUUAAUUUUACCACAAAAAAACUGGGAAAAUAUUGACUCCAGUAUAAGCCGAGGGUGGUAAAUUUCAAAAAUAAAAGUAGCUACCAACAAAAUUACAUUACCAUAUAUACUCGAGUAUAAGCCGACCCAAAUAUAAGCCGAGGCAUCUAAUCUUACCACAAAAAACCUAGGAAAACAUUGACUCCAGUAUAAGCCGAGAUACCAAUAAAAUUACAUUAAUUGAGGCCUCAGUAGUUUAAAUGUUUUUGAAUCUUUACAUCAAACUAUAAUUUAAGAUAUGACUGUUCAAGUCUGAUUAAAUCAUUAUUUUCAUCUCCUUCAAUGUAAAUGUGCUUAUGUAUCCUUUUAGUAAUAAGAGUGAAAUAACAAAUGUAAUAAUAAUAAUAAUAAAUGCAGUAAAAUAAUAAAUGUAAUAAUAGAGUAAAAUAAUAAAUGUAUUAAUAAUAAAAAAUAGAGUAAAAUAAAUGUAAAAGUCACAACAAUAAUAGAGUAAAAUAAUAAAUGUAAUAAUAAUAAUUAAUAGAGUAAAAUAAUAAAUGUAACAAUACCAAUAAUAAUAGAGAAAAAAUAAUAAAUAUAUAUUUGAGUUUAAGCCGACCUGAAUAUGAGCACACCAGGACCCUCACCCGAGUAUAAGCCGAGGAGGGGUUUUUUUAGUCCUAAAAAAGGGCUGAAAAACUAGGUUUAUACUCGAGUAUAUACAGUAAUUCCUUUAUGAGAAUCUGACAUAAAUAGUAAUGUAUGCUUUGCUUUUUCUUUUUCUUUUACACAGGCUGUGGAGUCAUUGUCCAUAAAACUUGCAAGGAGAGCUUAGCUGCUUGUGCCAAGGUCAAAAUGAAGCUCCAGAAAGGAGGCCUCCAGGCACAUGAUACCUCCUCGUUGCCCACAGUCAUUAUGAGAAGUAAGACCUCACAGCCGAAGGAGAGACCUCGCUCUGCCAUCCUGGCUCCAGACGAAAGCAACGUGACCUCCUUGUUCACGAAUAGGAGAUCCCAGCAGAACCUGGCCCUUUCGAAAAGCGUCUCCAUUCAAAACAUUGCUGGGUAAGAUUCAUUCUCUUUUGGGUGGACACUUGGCACAAAUACGUACAUGGCGAGAGGGGGUAAGUAUGGAGUGAACUGCUCCAUAAAGAGCAUGUGAAAGACAUGCUCUUGGCUUUUUUUGUUCAAUGUGGGUAAAUAAAUUUUAAAAGGCUAUCUAUAUAUAUAUAUAUAUACAAGGGUAAUGAAAUUUCGGCCUAGGAAAAAACAACAAAACUACACAUUCCAGAAACACUAAACUUGGCAACACAACCCCUCAUCCAUGCCUCUGCGUUCAU